rnacentral:lncRNA from 1 species
CACCCAGAAAGCACCUGUUCUUUUCAUCUGUGAUAACUGCACAUUUUGACCCUAUAGCAAUCUGUUCAGUGUAACUGGGAUCUAGGCUGCAGGGACAUAGUGAUGUCCUUCCUUCCCUGUUCAUGAAAGGAUAUUGAUGAAAACAUGAAGUUCUUAGGCUGAAUAAAAUGCUGCUUUCAAUAGAAAACUCUAUAACAAAGUUCUGCCAUAAUCCCCAAAGAGAAGAUGAUCCUGUCUUUAAGUCAUGGAAACGGGAAUUGGCAGAUCAUCACCUCAUCCCAUAACUAGCUUUGCCUUGCCUGAGGAAGGAAGGCCUUUGGGGUACUGGCAGUAGCUGCCUGGCCCUACAGUAAGAUAAUCAGGCAGGGCCUGUCUUCAGGGCAGGGCACUGCAAGAGGAAAAAAAGGCAGUGGGCAUGAAUGGAAGCCAGGGGGGGUAAGACCCAACAGGACAAGGAUUUGAACAGCUUGGUCUGAGAUCAUAGCUGGCCCAAGACCUCCUGAGGUCCCUUCCAGCCCAAGGUAUUUCUAGAGUGGUGCUACAAACUCUUUAGAAACAUCAGUAUAAAUAUAUUUUUCUGCAUCUCAGGUCUGUAACUUCAAGAAAUUGUUCAGAG